UACAGGCGUGGCAAGCGUUACUCGGAAUUAUUGGGUGUAAAGGGCAGGUAGGUGGCCCGGUAAGUGAGAGGUGAAAUCCUGCGGUUUAAUCGCAGAACAGCCUUUCAGACUGUCGGGCUUGAGAGUGAUAGAGGAAGAUGGAAUUCCCGGUGUAAGGGUGAAAUCUGUAGAUAUCGGGAAGAACACCAACGGCGAAGGCAAUCUUCUGGGUCACUUCUGACGCUGAGCUGCGAAAGCUAGGGGAGCAAACAGAAUUAGAUACUCUGGUAGUCCUAGCCGUAAACGAUGAAUACUAGGUGUUGGAUCCCUUUGGGGUUCGGUGCCGAAGCUAACGCAUUAAGUAUUCCACCUGGGGACUACGAUCGCAAGGUUAAA
rnacentral:rRNA from 1 species